UGUGGAAGUGGUGGGUUAUUUCACAUAUUCUGACAUAAUCCAAGAAAACAACAGAUGGCAAUUUCAUCCAAGUGGGUGUUAUCCACUAGGACUGCAGAAGAGGAGCUUGUUUUCCAGUAACUUCCUGCCUUUCAGGUUAAAAGUUACAGAACCUACUGCAGUGCUCUAAUGUGAGUCUCAAAUGCAGGUGGACCUUCUGUUGGCUGCUCAAACUUCGGUGACGUUUCUGUUUGCUCAGGUUAGAGC
rnacentral:lncRNA from 1 species